CCGGAAGGGCGGAGAACCGCUCCGGCGCGAGCCGGGGAGGAAAGUCCGAACACCCCAGGGCGCGAUGCCGCGUAACUCCGACUCUGUCGCGAGAUACACGCGGGCGGCCCGCCGCGAGGCGUGCCGACGGACAGUGCCGCAGAAAAUCAAACCGCCAGCGAUUCCGGUCCGCCGGGAAGCGGGCAAGGGUGAAAAGGUGCGGUAAGAGCGCACCGCUCCAAGCGCAAGCGCGGAGGCACGGCAAACCCCAUCGGGUGCAAGGCCAAAUAGGGGACUGCGACGCGGCCCGCGUCGAGUCGCGCGAGAGUGCGGCCGGUCCCGGGUAUUGGCCGCUCAGACAAAUGGUUCUCUCCGCCGCGGCGCGAGUCUCGGCGCAGACAGAAUUCGGCUUACAGCCCUUCCGGAGCC
rnacentral:RNase_P_RNA from 1 species